UACAGAGGGUGCAAGCGUUAAUCGGAAUUACUGGGCGUAAAGCGCGCGUAGGUGGUUUGUUAAGUUGGAUGUGAAAUCCCCGGGCUCAACCUGGGAACUGCAUUCAAAACUGACAAGCUAGAGUAUGGUAGAGGGUGGUGGAAUUUCCUGUGUAGCGGUGAAAUGCGUAGAUAUAGGAAGGAACACCAGUGGCGAAGGCGACCACCUGGACUGAUACUGACGCUGAGGUGCGAAAGCGUGGGGAGCAAACAGG
rnacentral:rRNA from 1 species